rnacentral:lncRNA from 1 species
CCCUGCCUGGGCUCACUCUUAUAAGCAAGCUUUGGGUUCUGUUUAGUAUAGACUUUCAGGUUCAGAUUUCAGACUGUGAAUCAGUUCUGGUCGCAACUGGUAAGAGUUUGGUCUUUACACGCAUUAAUUUUAAUCAUUUUCUACUAUUGCCAUUGCUUUUACUCUACCACCAUUCUUACUUAAAUAUACGAGUUUUUUAUUUUUUUUAUUUUCUGUGAAAUGUUUUAAUCUCACAAAUGAAGCUAAAAGAACUCUUAUUAAUUGAAUUUUUUUACUCUACUUUUGACACUUACCUUUUUGACCUUGCUUUUGCUUGUGAAUUCUGCUGGGAGUGUAACAAAUGAUUUUUCGUAUAGAUAUAUAUCUUAUUUGAUAAAUAAAUCCAUUUACUGUGGAUUUGUUUUUACUUUCUCUCCUCUUGCGUAAUGUUUGAGUCUUCACGCUGUUUGAAUGACAGUUUCGCAAUUAGUAGCAAAUAUACGAGGAUUUUGGUAAAAAGAUAGUUGGUGGAACAGUCAACCAUCAUGCUCUGCCCUGGUGCGCUGCUUGUUGACUAAAAUGAAACCUACAAAAGAGUGAAGCGAAAGCAUAGGCCCAGCCAUUGAAAAGCUUUUAUGGAGUAGUGGGCGAGUCAAGCGUUAGAAGUAUUGGGUCAACACGAUGUCUAUAUAAAAAAGUAGAAUUUGGCAAUUUGCGGGAAACUUCCUAUUUUGUUAAUUUCUUUGUUUGAAUCUUACUUUUACCAAAACCCAUUCUUUUAUUUUCCAUUGGCUACCAUUAGUUGUAAUUUAAAUUAUAUAUAUAUAUAUUAUAUCUAUAGG